AGAGUUUGAUCAUGGCUCAGGAUGAACGCUAGCUACAGGCUUAACACAUGCAGGUCGAGGGGCAGCAUGGUCUUAGCUUGCUAAGGCCGAUGGCGACCGGCGCACGGGUGAGUAACACGUAUCCAACCUGCCGUCUACUCUUGGACAGCCUUCUGAAAGGAAGAUUAAUACAAGAUGGCAUCAUGAGUCCGCAUGUUCACAUGAUUAAAGGUAUUCCGGUAGACGAUGGGGAUGCGUUACAUUAGAUAGUAGGCGGGGUAACGGCCCACCUAGUCUUCGAUGGAUAGGGGUUCUGAGAGGAAGGUCCCCCACAUUGGAACUGAGACACGGUCCAAACUCCUACGGGAGGCAGCAGUGAGGAAUAUUGGUCAAUGGGCGAGAGCCUGAACCAGCCAAGUAGCGUGAAGGAUGACUGCCCUAUGGGUUGUAAACUUCUUUUAUAAAGGAAUAAAGUCGGGUAUGCAUACCCGUUUGCAUGUACUUUAUGAAUAAGGAUCGGCUAACUCCGUGCCAGCAGCCGCGGUAAUACGGAGGAUCCGAGCGUUAUCCGGAUUUAUUGGGUUUAAAGGGAGCGUAGAUGGAUGUUUAAGUCAGUUGUGAAAGUUUGCGGCUCAACCGUAGAAUUGCAGUUGAUACUGGAUAUCUUGAGUGCAGUUGAGGCAGGCGGAAUUCGUGGUGUAGCGGUGAAAUGCUUAGAUAUCACGAAGAACUCCGAUUGCGAAGGCAGCCUGCUAAGCUGCAACUGACAUUGAGGCUCGAAAGUGUGGGUAUCAAACAGGAUUAGAUACCCUGGUAGUCCACACGGUAAACGAUGAAUACUCGCUGUUUGCGAUAUACAGCAAGCGGCCAAGCGAAAGCGUUAAGUAUUCCACCUGGGGAGUACGCCGGCAACGGUGAAACUCAAAGGAAUUGACGGGGGCCCGCACAAGCGGAGGAACAUGUGGUUUAAUUCGAUGAUACGCGAGGAACCUUACCCGGGCUUAAAUUGCAGAUGAAUUACGGUGAAAGCCGUAAGCCGCAAGGCAUCUGUGAAGGUGCUGCAUGGUUGUCGUCAGCUCGUGCCGUGAGGUGUCGGCUUAAGUGCCAUAACGAGCGCAACCCUUGUUGUCAGUUACUAACAGGUUCUGCUGAGGACUCUGACAAGACUGCCAUCGUAAGAUGUGAGGAAGGUGGGGAUGACGUCAAAUCAGCACGGCCCUUACGUCCGGGGCUACACACGUGUUACAAUGGGGGGUACAGAGGGCCGCUACCACGCGAGUGGAUGCCAAUCCCCAAAACCUCUCUCAGUUCGGACUGGAGCCUGCAACCCGACUCCACGAAGCUGGAUUCGCUAGUAAUCGCGCAUCAGCCACGGCGCGGUGAAUACGUUCCCGGGCCUUGUACACGCCGCCCGUCAAGCCAUGGGAGCCGGGGGUACCUGAAGUGCGUAACCGCGAGGAGCGCCCUAGGGUAAAACUGGUGACUGGGGCUAAGUCGUAACAAGGUA
rnacentral:rRNA from 1 species